rnacentral:rRNA from 1 species
AGAGUUUGAUCCUGGCUCAGAACGAACGCUGGCGGCAGGCUUAACACAUGCAAGUCGAACGCAUCCUUCGGGGUGAGUGGCAGACGGGUGAGUAACGCGUGGGAACGUGCCCUUCAGUUCGGAAUAACCCAGGGAAACUUGGGCUAAUACCGGAUACGUGCGAGAGCAGAAAGAUUUAUCGCUGAAGGAUCGGCCCGCGUCUGAUUAGCUAGUUGGUAGGGUAAUGGCCUACCAAGGCGACGAUCAGUAGCUGGUCUGAGAGGAUGAUCAGCCACAUUGGGACUGAGACACGGCCCAAACUCCUACGGGAGGCAGCAGUGGGGAAUAUUGGACAAUGGGCGCAAGCCUGAUCCAGCCAUGCCGCGUGAGUGAUGAAGGCCUUAGGGUUGUAAAGCUCUUUCGUCCGGGACGAUAAUGACGGUACCGGAAGAAGAAGCCCCGGCUAACUUCGUGCCAGCAGCCGCGGUAAUACGAAGGGGGCUAGCGUUGUUCGGAAUCACUGGGCGUAAAGGGCGCGUAGGCGGCUUGAUAAGUCGGGGGUGAAAGCCUGUGGCUCAACCACAGAAUUGCCUUCGAUACUGUCUGGCUUGAGACCGGAAGAGGUAAGUGGAACUGCGAGUGUAGAGGUGAAAUUCGUAGAUAUUCGCAAGAACACCAGUGGCGAAGGCGGCUUACUGGUCCGGUUCUGACGCUGAGGCGCGAAAGCGUGGGGAGCAAACAGGAUUAGAUACCCUAGUAGUCC